rnacentral:lncRNA from 10 species
CAGGACUUCCACUACUGUGCUUUGUCAGUGGAGACCAUGUGGGGUGCAGGGAUGAGAUAGUCCUGUCCUUCUCAGCCAGUAUUUUACAAUGUUUUGACAUCUUAAAAGCUUGCUGACCAGAGAGACUGUCCCAUCCAGCGAAAGCCAGUUUUCAGAGACAGCAAAGGACUCACUGGGCGUGUCUUUCAAACGCAAACCAACCAAUCUUGGGUACCAGGCAAUUAGAGACCACUCCUACAGCCCCAAACCCUAUGUGUCUCAGAGUGCUUUCGGGCCAAG